rnacentral:rRNA from 1 species
AACGAACGCUGGCGGCAUGCCUAACACGUGCAAGUCGAACGAGACCUUCGGGUCUAGUGGCGCACGGGUGCGUAACGCGCGGGAACCUGCCCUUAGGUUCGGAAUAACUCCCCGAAAGGGGUGCUAAUACCGGAUAAUGUCUUCGGACCAAAGAUUUAUCGCCUUUGGAUGGGCCCGCGUUGGAUUAGCUAGUUGGUAGGGUAAAAGCCUACCAAGGCGACGAUCCAUAGCUGGUCUGAGAGGAUGAUCAGCCACACUGGGACUGAGACACGGCCCAGACUCCUACGGGAGGCAGCAGUGGGGAAUAUUGGACAAUGGGCGAAAGCCUGAUCCAGCAAUGCCGCGUGAGUGAUGAAGGCCUUAGGGUUGUAAAGCUCUUUUACCCGGGAUGAUAAUGACAGUACCGGGAGAAUAAGCUCCGGCUAACUCCGUG